rnacentral:rRNA from 1 species
GAUGAACGCUGGCGGCGUGCCUAAUACAUGCAAGUCGAGCGAACAGAUGAGGAGCUUGCUCCUCUGACGUUAACGGCGGACGGGUGAGUAACACGUGGAUAACCUACCUAUAAGACUGGGAUAACUUCGGGAAACCGGAGCUAAUACCGGAUAAUAUAUUGAACCGCAUGGUUCAAUAGUGAAAGACGGUUUUGCUGUCACUUAUAGAUGGAUCCGCGCCGCAUUAGCUAGUUGGUAAGGUAACGGCUUACCAAGGCAACGAUGCGUAGCCGACCUGAGAGGGUGAUCGGCCACACUGGAACUGAGACACGGUCCAGACUCCUACGGGAGGCAGCAGUAGGGAAUCUUCCGCAAUGGGCGAAAGCCUGACGGAGCAACGCCGCGUGAGUGAUGAAGGUCUUCGGAUCGUAAAACUCUGUUAUUAGGGAAGAACAAAUGUGUAAGUAACUAUGCACGUCUUGACGGUACCUAAUCAGAAAGCCACGGCUAACUACG